rnacentral:rRNA from 1 species
AGAACGAACGCUGGCGGCAUGCCUAAUACAUGCAAGUCGAACGAGAUCUUCGGAUCUAGUGGCGCACGGGUGCGUAACGCGUGGGAAUCUACCCUUGGGUUCGGAAUAACAGUUGGAAACGACUGCUAAUACCGGAUGAUGACGAAAGUCCAAAGAUUUAUCGCCCAAGGAUGAGCCCGCGUAGGAUUAGCUAGUUGGUGAGGUAAAGGCUCACCAAGGCUACGAUCCUUAGCUGGUCUGAGAGGAUGAUCAGCCACACUGGGACUGAGACACGGCCCAGACUCCUACGGGAGGCAGCAGUGGGGAAUUUUGGACAAUGGGCGCAAGCCUGAUCCAGCAAUGCGCGUGAGUGAAG